rnacentral:rRNA from 1 species
UUGAAGAGUUUGAUCAUGGCUCAGAUUGAACGCUGGCGGCAGGCCUAACACAUGCAAGUCGAACGGUAACAGGAAGAAGCUUGCUUCUUUGCUGACGAGUGGCGGACGGGUGAGUAAUGUCUGGGAAACUGCCUGAUGGAGGGGGGAUAACUACUGGAAACGGUAGCUAAUACCGCAUAACGUCGCAAGACCAAAGAGGGGGGACCUUCGGGCCUCUUGCCAUCGGAUGUGCCCAGAUGGGAUUAGCUAGUAGGUGGGGUAACGGCUCACCUAGGCGACGAUCCCUAGCUGGUCUGAGAGGAUGACCAGCCACACUGGAACUGAGACACGGUCCAGACUCCUACGGGAGGCAGCAGUGGGGGAAUAUUGCACAAUGGGCGCAAGCCUGAUGCAGCCAUGCCGCGUGUAUGAAGAAGGCCUUCGGGUUGUAAAGUACUUUCAGCGGGGAGGAAGGGAGUAAAGUUAAUACCUUUGCUCAUUGACGUUACCCGCAGAAGAAGCACCGGCUAACUCCGUGCCAGCAGCCGCGGUAAUACGGAGGGUGCAAGCGUUAAUCGGAAUUACUGGGCGUAAAGCGCACGCAGGCGGUUUGUUAAGUCAGAUGUGAAAUCCCCGGGCUCAACCCCGGGAACUGCAUCUGAUACUGGCAAGCUUGAGUCUCGUAGAGGGGGGUGGAAUUCCAGGUGUAGCGGUGAAAUGCGUAGAGAUCUGGAGGAAUACCGGUGGCGAAGGCGGCCCCCUGGACGAAGACUGACGCUCAGGUGCGAAAGCGUGGGGAGCAAACAGGAUUAGAUACCCUGGUAGUCCACGCCGUAAACGAUGUCGACUUGGAGGUUGUGCCCUUGAGGCGUGGCUUCCGGAGCUAACGCGUUAAGUCGACCGCCUGGGGAGUACGGCCGCAAGGUUAAAACUCAAAUGAAUUGACGGGGGCCCGCACAAGCGGUGGAGCAUGUGGUUUAAUUCGAUGCAACGCGAAGAACCUUACCUGGUCUUGACAUCCACGGAAGUUUUCAGAGAUGAGAAUGUGCCUUCGGGAACCGUGAGACAGGUGCUGCAUGGCUGUCGUCAGCUCGUGUUGUGAAAUGUUGGGUUAAGUCCCGCAACGAGCGCAACCCUUAUCCUUUGUUGCCAGCGGUCCGGCCGGGAACUCAAAGGAGACUGCCAGUGAUAAACUGGAGGAAGGUGGGGAUGACGUCAAGUCAUCAUGGCCCCUUACGACCGUGGGCUACACACGUGCUACAAUGGCGCAUACAAAGAGAAGCGACCUCGCGAGAGCAAGCGGACCUCAUAAAGUGCGUCGUAGUCCGGAUUGGAGUCUGCAACUCGACUCCAUGAAGUCGGAAUCGCUAGUAAUCGUGGAUCAGAAUGCCACGGUGAAUACGUUCCCGGGCCUUGUACACACCGCCCGUCACACCAUGGGAGUGGGUUGCAAAAGAAGUAGGUAGCUUAACCUUCGGGAGGGCGCUUACCACUUUGUGAUUCAUGACUGGGGUGAAGUCGUAACAAGGUAACCGUAGGGGAACCUGCGGUUGGAUCACCUCCUU